rnacentral:rRNA from 1 species
UUAGCCCUAAACACAAAUAAUUAUAAAAACAAAAUUAUUCGCCAGAGUACUACCGGCAACAGCCCGAAACUCAAAGGACUUGGCGGUGCUUUAUACCCUUCUAGAGGAGCCUGUUCUAUAAUCGAUAAACCCCGAUAAACCUCACCAAUCCUUGCUAAUACAGUCUAUAUACCGCCAUCUUCAGCAAACCCUAAAAAAGGGACAAAAGUAAGCUCAAUAAUAACACAUAAAGACGUUAGGUCAAGGUGUAACCUAUGGAGUGGGAAGAAAUGGGCUACAUUUUCUACCCAAGAAAAUUUAAUACGAAAGCCAUUAUGAAA